rnacentral:rRNA from 1 species
UAGGGAAUCUUCGGCAAUGGACGGAAGUCUGACCGAGCAACGCCGCGUGAGUGAAGAAGGUUUUCGGAUCGUAAAGCUCUGUUGUUAGAGAAGAACGUUGGUAGGAGUGGAAAAUCUACCAAGUGACGGUAACUAACCAGAAAGGGACGGCUAACUACGUGCCAGCAGCCGCGGUAAUACGUAGGUCCCGAGCGUUGUCCGGAUUUAUUGGGCGUAAAGCGAGCGCAGGCGGUUCUUUAAGUCUGAAGUUAAAGGCAGUGGCUUAACCAUUGUACGCUUUGGAAACUGGAGGACUUGAGUGCAGAAGGGGGGAGUGGAAUUCCAGGUGUAGCGGUGAAAUGCGUAGUUAUAUGGAGGAACACCGGUGGCGAAAGCGGCUCUCUGGUCUGUAACUGACGCUGAGGCUCGAAAGCGUGGGGAGCAAACAGG